GUAUACAUGUAACUCUAUGCGAAUGAAAAUUGUGUCUGAACAUUUUUCAAACAUGUUUGUGCUAUCACAGUGGAUAGAUAUUUUAUUUGAUAAUAAUUUUUUGGCACAUUUGGGAGCAUACUCAGUUGAACAUCUAUGUUAUAGAGUCGGGUGCUCAUUUUGCCACAACUGUCCAUGUUUUCUGCAGUUCAGGUCUUUAUUUUUUUGAAGUAUACUGAUAUAUGACAGUAACAUCAAAAACAAAAGUUAGAUAAAGACUAUUUGAAAUUUCCUGAUGUUUUGUCAAUGGGAGACACAUAUUUGCCGUUCGAAUACAUCUAUUUAAAACCAAAUAACUGCAUUUUUAAACAAUUUUUAUCAAAUCAAUUUCACUAUAGAUGAAUAGUAGACAUUUCAAAGGUGUAAAGAACUGUAAUUUAAAGCAAUAGGUCAAAGAACUACUAAGAAAUACAUCUUUGAAAUCAUUUUUUCAUUCAGAAAAUUGGCUAAAAAUCGUUGUCUGUUUUUCGGUCCUUUGCGGUAAGUGCUGAAAUUUUGUCUAAGUUUAAAAAAUAAUCAUAUUUGUUAUAACAAUAUAAUUUACCAGCAUAUUUCUUCCAUUUCACCCAUCCUUUGAAGCUUUUACACCUCAAAAUCAUGAAACAGCGUAAUUGUGUCCCCGGCUAAUAUGGGCGCCCCACUCUAUAUAAAUGCAGUUUUGUUCCAAAAAAAAUCACUGCAAUAUUCGUUUAAAAUAUGAUACUUUCUUCCAAAUUUAUACACAG
rnacentral:lncRNA from 1 species